UUAAUUGAAAAUGCAAAGGCACAUUACCCACGUGUCGUCCGGGCGUGCUUCGAAAGAGUAUAAACUUUCCGCAUACUGCUUGAAGCGGGACGGGAAAAACCAUCGCUUUUCGCCAACUUGUACAAAUCCGCAACUGUUCGUUUUGUUUGGGCUCUACAAAGUCUAUGCUGUAUGGGAACGGCAUUUUCGAUGUGAUACGCUACACAGGCCACAAGCUAUUCCAAAGCCUACCAAGCCAACCAAACACCCAACGACGAUGGGAUCGAAAACGAAACUGAGGCGCGAAGCGAUCCAGCAACCACCAAUCAACAAUCAUCGACGUCAUCAUCAUCAUCAUCAUGGCUGGAGUCGUCGUGUUACCGAAAUAUGCUGACCGUAGUCGGGGUAGGUGUUUUGUGUUGAGUAGGAGAAAGUUUUUUGUUGACACAGUUCCGUAGCUUCGGGUGGCGCACCCGAAAGCAAGCAUCGGCCGGAUGGGGCAACGGCGCUUCAUAACCAUCAUAUUAUAAUGAGGAAGUGUGUGCGGUUUUCGUGCUGCAAGCUUUAACGUUAACAGUGACGGAUUUCAAUUGCCGUCGGUUUCCACGGCGCCUAUGGUCAGUGCAAUUUCCUUCAAUCGCAAUCUGGCAUGCGAUGAAGGUGAUGUUGAAUGAAGGCCUUUCUUUUCUUUUGUUUGUAUGAUAAACGAUGUAAUGGAAUAUUACACUGCAAGAACCGCGAUUGGUGUUGUAUCAGACUGACAGAAAGUGAAAGUUAAAUCCACUGAAGUUAUUUUUUGUUCACUUGAGAUCACUUGAGAUCGUGUGAGAUCACCGCAUAGCUAAAUCGCAGUGUGGGGAAAUUGUUUCUCAAAUUCCUAUGAAAUAAAUUGAUUGGAUUUUUAAAAUCUUUA